rnacentral:rRNA from 1 species
GAUGAACGCUGGCGGCGUGCCUAAUACAUGCCAGUCGAGCGAACGGACGAGAAGCUUGCUUUUCUGAUGUUAGCGGCGGACGGGUGAGUAACACGUGGAUAACCUACCUAUAAGACUGGGAUAACUUCGGGAAACCGGAGCUAAUACCGGAUAAUAUUUUGAACCGCAUGGUUCAAAAGUGAAAGACGGUCUUGCUGUCACUUAUAGAUGGAUCCGCGCUGCAUUAGCUAGUUGGUAAGGUAACGGCUUACCAGGGCAACGAUGCAUAGCCGACCUGAGAGGGUGAUCGGCCACACUGGAACUGAGACACGGUCCAGACUCCUACGGGAGGCAGCAGUAGGGAAUCUUCCGCAAUGGGCGAAAGCCUGACGGAGCAACGCCGCGUGAGUGAUGAAGGUCUUCGGAUCGUAAAACUCUGUUAUUAGGGAAGAACAUAUGUGUAAGUAACUGUGCACAUCUUGACGGUACCUAAUCAGAAAGCCACGGCUAACUACGUG